CUGGACUUGAACCCAGCUGUGUGUCCUUCAAAAGCGACUUGUCAAUGGAUAAUGAGAUUAAUUUUAAAGACCAACCUGUAUCAGAGUCACAAGUGGACCAGCAGAGCUCAGAGGUUCCCAGUGCUCAGUCUGUCCAGCAGCACCAAACACAGGUGGACUCCAUAUUUAUGCUGCUGGAGGAAAACAUUGUCACGUUUGUGAAGAAGGAGC